rnacentral:rRNA from 1 species
AUUGAACGCUGGCGGCAUGCUUUACACAUGCAAGUCGAACGGCAGCGCGGGCUUCGGCCUGGCGGCGAGUGGCGAACGGGUGAGUAAUGCAUCGGAACGUGCCCAGUAGUGGGGGAUAGCCCGGCGAAAGCCGGAUUAAUACCGCAUACGACCUGAGGGUGAAAGCGGGGGACCGAAAGGCCUCGCGCUAUUGGAGCGGCCGAUGUCGGAUUAGCUAGUUGGUGGGGUAAAGGCUUACCAAGGCGACGAUCCGUAGCUGGUCUGAGAGGACGACCAGCCACACUGGGACUGGGACACGGCCCAGACUCCUACGGGAGGCAGCAGUGGGAAAUUUUGGACAAUGGGGGCAACCCUGAUCCAGCCAUGCCGCGUGCGGGAAGAAGGCCUUCGGGUGGUAAACCGCUUUUGUUCGGGAAGAAAUCCUCUGGGCUAAUACCCCGGGGGAUGACGGUACCGGAAGAAUAAGCACCGGCUAACUACGUG